GUGUGAAGGGGGGGUCCGGGGGGCGGGUCCCUGUGCCGCUGACGUCCCGAGCAGUGCUGGGAAGUAUAGGCUGUGUUGUCACGCCGGUGUCAGUCUGAUGAAGAUUGGCAUCAGGUGAAAUCUGGAGCAGGACUCUGAAGCUUUCUGUCCUCCAUGCCGCUCACUAGAAAAGGGGCUGUGAACUGUGCUUUGGCUCUAGCUGACAGCAAGACUUUCUGGCCCAGCUGGAAGUGAGAAGAGGGGAGUGGGUCUCCUGAGGACCAUCCCAGAGGCCGCAGGGAUCACCUGAACAAUCCUCGAUGUGAAUCAAUCCCAUGAUGCAACAUGCCUCCCCAGCCCCAGCUCUGACGAUGAUGGCCACGCAGAAUGUCCCUCCCCCACCCUACCAGGACAGCCCGCAGAUGACGGCAACCGCCCAGCCACCCUCCAAGGCCCAGGCUGUCCACAUCUCGGCGCCCUCGGCUGCUGCCAGCACACCUGUGCCCAGUGCCCCCAUCGACCCCCAGGCCCAGCUGGAGGCUGACAAGCGAGCUGUUUACAGGCACCCUCUUUUCCCGCUCCUGACGCUGCUGUUUGAGAAAUGUGAACAGGCCACGCAGGGCUCUGAGUGCAUCACCUCCGCAAGCUUUGAUGUGGACAUCGAGAACUUUGUCCACCAGCAGGAGCAGGAGCACAAACCCUUCUUCAGCGAUGACCCAGAACUGGACAAUCUGGUAAAGACCCUCCACCCUCUACCCUGGCUAGAGUCUUCCUACCCUUUGAUUCCCCCCCCCAAUGCCCUACAAAUGACCCUUUCAUUAAUUCAUUCAACAAACAGUUCUGAGUGCUGACCAUGGGGCAGGUGCUAGAUGCGCCAUAUUGGAAGCCAAGAACCAUUUUUAAGUUCCUUAAACCAAGCGUUCCAUGCAGCGCAGGCUUUACUGCCAACGUUCUCCCCGUCUACACCCAGGGCGGCACAGCGUCCUACUACCCAUCUCUUGUAAUGCAGACAGGAAGACAGGACAGUUGUAGCAGCCAGCAUGUCUAGAGUAGCUGUUCUGAGGCCUGGAGUCCUGGCGUGUUAGCGAAUCUGUCUUGGGCUGCCCAGAGAGGAGCUGAUGGUUGGCGUGCUACCAUGUGGAGGAUGUAGGUAACAGACAUGUUCAAACAUGUCAAUAGAGAGAAAGACAUGACAUAGGCAUGUUGAGAAGACCAGCAGAGGACCUGCCCACUUAGGAGGACUCAGUACAGCAGGUUCCCAAACCCAGUUUGUCACCCAGAUCAUCACUACAGUUUUAUAAAAUCCAUAUUUCUGGGCCACAACACCUGGAAAUUGUGAUUUUACUGGUUUGGUGGGAGCCUGUGAAUGUACAUUUUAAAAAGUUUCCCAGGCAGUUGCAAUCCUCAAUUAGGUUAGGAGACCACUGGGUUGGAUGACAUCUGAAAUUCUCAUCUAGCCCUGGGAGUUCUGCUGAGGGAGAACAACAGAGGGGCUGCUCUGUUUGUUCGUCACCCUGGUCAUCCUGGAGUUAUUAACCCCAAUUCUAGAUUUUUCUGUGGGUGGAUUACCCAGAUUAUGCAUGGUGAAUUUGGAAGCUUGGGAAAGCUGUCCCCCUCAAAUUGAUUGAUUAUGGUGCUGACCUCUUGCAUCCGGAGUUUGGCCAGUACCUGCUCCCAAAAGGGAAACGGAAUUAGAAAAGCAAAUGUGGUCCCAAAAAGGAAGGAAGAAAAAAUGUGCACACACACCACAGGCAUCUGCAGAACAGAUGUAAGUGACUUUGGUGUUAUUUCGUGCUAUGAAUUAUCCACACCACUGCUUCUGUCAAGAGUUGAAUAUGGUACUUCAUGGAGUCCAAGGAGAGCCUGCCCUGGACUGGGAAGCCGGGCAGUGUCAUGAUGGGCUGGUGUCUAGAGAGCGGAGCAGGCCUUGGCCAGAGGAUAAGCAUUUGCCCGUUGUCAGGGGUGUUUAGUGGAGGCAUCUGAGAGUCCAAAAUCCACCUCUGCUUGUCCCUGGGCUGGGGUUCAGUAGGCCCCCUUCCUAGGAGGCUGGGCCACCAUCUCUCGAGUCCCCUGGGAAUCCCCAUGCAGGUUCUCCAGUUGGUCGAGUAUUAAGUGCAGGCUGGUCUGGCCCUGCCCUCGUCUUUGGCUGACCAGAAUCAUAGACUCCACUUGGGAAGCAGAUUCUUAGAACCCAGACCCUUGGCAGCCAGGGAGCCAGGAGAUGAGGCAGCCAUAUCUGCGGGAGCUGGAGUAGACCUGGGGGUGCCAGGGCCCACUCCCCUUACUUGACACAAAAAGGAACUGCGGCCUAACUUGGUAAGGAAAUACCUAAAAUUAGACUGAGUAAUGUGAAAGAAUUCAAACCUUCAUAAGAGGUAGGAGUCCUAGGGAAACAAACCUCAAAUGCCUUGCCCACCACCUGCCAGUGAGCUAUGGAAGACCCACUGAAGGCAGCCUCCCAUUCUAGCACAGCCUGGAAAAUUCCCAGGUGGCCAGCUCCAUGCUUUUCCACUUGCCAACACUGCCUGGGUCUCUCAGGGUUCUGUUCAUUUAAAGAAUCAGAUCUCUUGAAUCAAUCCAACAGAACUUGGCUGUCUGCCACGUGCCAGGCCUGAGCCAAGGACAUGGAUGUAGUAGAAGCCACCUUAGUGGCCCCAGACCACUGGUGUUCCCUGGCCUUCUAUCUCAGGUGACUGGGCUGGGAGUGGUCCAGCUAGUGAGCAAUCCUUGGACAUUCCAUCUACUCAGAUGGACCUGAUUUGUCUAGAUGAGUUAGUAGCCACGGUCAAUGACUAGUUGAUGAUUGAUUGAUGGAUUGAUUGAUGAUGUAAAUGGAGAGAUUUGGCAACGUGCCUAGAGAAAAAGACCUGAGCCUAGCUUCACCACUUACUCUGUGUGAGACUUGAUGACUUAACUCCACUGAAGCUCGGUUUCCUCAUCUGUAGACCUAAUGCACCUAUCUCAUGUGAUUGUAACAAUGCCUGGCAUCCAAAAAGUUAAUCCUGAAUGCAGUGUCUCUCCUGAAAGUUGUUCCAGCUUCCCAACCUCACCUCGGGACUGCCAAAGAGACUGAGUGGCCAGAACCCUGAAACUUUAUUUGGGGAGUCAAGCAGUUCCCUUUGCCACAGCCCCCCACCCUGUCCUGUGUCAGGGUUGGCGGGUGAGGGGGAGAUAAAGAGGCCAACCACAGGAGCCAUCAUUGGAACAAGAAUCAUGUAGCCAGCACAGCCGAGAUGCACAUAAUUAGAAAUUAGAAAAAGGUCAGAUCACGUCAUUAUCAGCUCAAUCAGCUGCCAAGUGCCACAGCCAGUUAAUUUGGCAUCUGUAUUUUUUACAACCCCGCACACGUAGCCCAACGGACUGUAACUCUUUAUCCGGACAGAUAUACUGCGCAGCCGAGCAGGGACAUAAAAUGAGAGACCCCAAGCAAAUGAGCUGAGAUAAUUGAGAGAUUUAUUUUUUAUAUAUAUGUGUGUCAGGGAGGCUUUCCUUUGCCCUUGAAUAUUGACUUUCAUAGGUGGGAUUGUCAGGAAGGCACUUGGGUCCCCCAAAACUUUGCCCCUUGGAAGUUCACCUCCAUUUCCAGGGCCCUGGAGCCCCACUCGGGCCCUGCCUUCUCCCAAGCCCGUGAGGCAGCAGCCUCUAACCUACCAGGGACGAAGAAUCCUCCCAUCCCAGCCAGCCACCCUCCUCUCCCCCAAGCAGAUUGCCAGGUAGCACCCUUCUCUGCACCCCACAGUCUCCCAGAGCUGCCCCAAGGAUGAGAGAGAGGGUCCCAGAUUGUAGAUUUCGGAGGGGACCUCCCUCCCUGGCUGACCAGUUGUGUCCCCAUCACCCGCACGGGUACUGGGGGCAAAAGAAAUCCCAGAACGUUAGGAGGGAAAACACAGCGCCAGGAACAGCAAGUCUUCCUCACCCGUCCCCUACCAUUCUGUAGCCGGGGACGUAAGUCUGGGCAAGGAAGUCACUUGCCAGGACCAGAGCCCAGUGUGCUGACUCCAGAAAUUGUGCUCCUUACGCUACCUCAUUCCAGCAGUCUCCUCCCCGGUGGCAACAAAAAUCCUCAUUUACAAAUAGAGUAGUGCCAUCAAAACCUCUCCCCUGGCGCCCACACUCUGACCCCUCUACCUCCCCAUUUCCGAGCGAUAAGGGUGGCUUUCCGCCCUCACGGUGGCCACGCUGGAAUGCCCCUCGCCAGCUCCCUUGGGGCAGGGUGGGCUCCGCUACUCUUCACGCCCCCCACUCCCAUUCCCACGGCCACCGGGGACUCACCAGGCCUGUUUCUCAGCUGGCCCGGGGGUCCCUCCUUGGGCCCAGCAGCCUCUGACUGGCAGUUGGUAAAGUUUGUAAAAUUUGCAAGUUCCCCAAACCCCUUUGAAAGGUAAAAGCUUUUUGUUUUAUAAAAUCUGAUUUACGGGCCCCCAGUGCAGGGCCACGGUUUUAUAUAUUAUGCAAGAUUUCAAACAGAGGCUGUAAAACGUACGGUUUCAGUUUCAUGCAUGGAAUUUUUUUAUGUGUAAAUUUUUUAACAUUUAUGGGGCACGUUUUAAUGAGACUCUGGUGUGGCUCGAGGGACAGAUUAUGGCUGCCUGACCGCAAAGCCAGCUCUAAAAUGGGGCCCCCAGGCCCCUGGGCCCACUCUGAAGAGGUAGGGCCAGAGGCCAGAGGCUGUGAAUUAGGAGGCGCAUGAAGGAGCCGGGCCAGAGCCCUGGGCCCACCGAGACCUUGGGCCAGCCCCGUUCAGAGAGGUGCUCACUCCAGCCUUCAAUCCAGACCCUCUGCCUAGAUAGCAGCAGACGACCCCACAGACACCAGGACAGGGAAGGGAAAUAAGAAUAAUCAACACUAAUAAUAAUUAACAUUUAUAGGGCACUUACCAGGUGUCAGGUACUGUUCUCAACACUUUACAUACAUUAUAUUAUUUAAUCUUCUUUCCAAACCCACAAGGCACAUAUUAUCACCCCCAUUUUAAGAUGAGGCAAUCGAGAUAAGAGGUGAAAUUGCUAACACAAGAUCACACAGCUGGUGCAUGGCCCAAGCAGGACAAACACGGCACAGGACUCAAGAUCCAGUGCUCACACUCGGAACAGUCACACCACCCUGUAACUAGUCUCUUCUUAGACCUUUUUAUGGUCCAGGUCUUGUUUUUACUGUUUCCCAGUCACAUCCCAUUUAAUCCUCUGCACAACUCUGAGGAGUCUCUAUUAUUAUCCUAUUUUACAGGUGAAGAAACUAAAGUUCAGAGAUUAUGUAAAUUGCUCAAGGUCUCACCAUAGGUGGCAGACCCUAGACUCUCAACCUCUAAAGCCCAUUGUCCUUGAGUACCUUCGCUAUUUAAUUCUCACAGUAAUCCUAUGAGGUGGCUGUUGUUAUCCCCAUUUGACAGAGGGAAAAAUCAAGGACGAGGAACCCUACAGCCAAUAAGUCACAUAGCUGGGAUUUGAACCAAGUGGAUCUAACUCCCAAAGCCUACCUUUCCCCCCCCCCAUACCACGCUGCUUCUCCAAGUUCUGAGACCAUCAGCAAGAAGCGUCAGGUUACUGACUCAAAAGUGAUUUAACUUUUCUUGCAAGAUGGUUUCCAUAAAAUGUUCAUUCGACCCCCAAUCAUCUGGCAGUUCUCCAGUCCUUGGUACUCACCUUUUUCCAUGUCCCAAUUUUUGUUCUAGCAUCUCCACUCUUGUCAGUGGUCAGGCCAAGCUGGCCUGGUCUGGAAACAUUCCUGAUUAGAUUUUAGCUUUGGCUGCCCCAGUGACCCACAGGAAAUAUCAGAGCACAUUAAAGAAUGUGUGUUUAUAAAUUCCUCGUUCUGUCAGUGAGGGAGAAUAGUUCCAGCUUCCCAAUUUGCAGAAGAGGAAGGAGAGGGUAAAAGGAAUUUACUCCCAAGGCAAGGAUCCCUCCCUAAUUCCUACGUGGAACUGAGUGGUUUACCUAAUCUCUGAGCCUCAAUUUCCUUAUCUCUAGGAGAGAGAUAAUAGUGCCUGUGUCCCUGUGGUGAUGAGACUCAAAUGAGAUAAUGGAGAGAAAGCAUUUUGUAAAUCGUAAAGUCUUAUGUGCGCAAAUGUUUUGAAAGGCAAGGGAUCAUUAUUAUCAAGUGAAGAGGCCAUGAUCCUACAAGACCGGCAACUCUUUAGAGAGGCACCUGAUGGAGGAAGGAGGGACGCAUUGGCAUGAAGGCUUGACAUUUAUUGAAUAGCCAUUAUAUGCCCCACACAUGUACAUACAAGAUCUUAUUCCAUUUUCACAACAACUCUAAAGUGUAGAUAUUAUUGUCAUCCUAAAUUUUAUGUACAAAUUCAAACCACUUGUCUAAAAUAACCAGGCAGGAAAAAAUAGACUUGAGACAUCACACCAUGUGACUUUAUAAAAAAUAAGAAACCCUGGUCUUGUGUACUUUCCUGGGACUACAGGACUUGUAUACAGUGGAUGAAACUAAAAAUGUGAGGUUGCAUCUGGUUUUGCUUUUUUGAAGGGGACUUCUUAGGAGAACAGGGAUGGAGGCUUUAUUUUGAAAGAGAAAGGAGGGAGAAAAGCUGACAGAUGAAGCACAUCCUGGGGAAAGGAAUGAAACAUACAUUUGGUGAUGAGAUAAAUUAAGUGGCAUUGUUAUUGCUCUAAAAGAUUUGGAAUAACUUUUCACAUGACCCUGAUAAUUUAGAAAAAUGGUUUCAUAAAUCACAAUUUUCUUAGAGGCAAAAAUCCAAAAUUGUAACACAUAGGAUAGAAGAUGAUUUACUAAAUACAAAUAUGGAAAGAAAAAAAAACCCUGGGAAUUAUUAUUUUUUUCACUAGCCAAAUAUAGCAGUAGAAAAGCCAAUGGGAUCUGUUGGUUUACUGCAGUUUAUAAAGCACUUCCACAUUAUCAUCUCCUGUAGCCCCUAUCAAAUCUCAUGAGUUAGGGAUAUCAUUAGCCCCAUUUUACAAACGAGGAGACUGAAGCUCAGAGAAGUCACAGAAUUUGCCCAGUGGCACCAGUUAGCAGUAGUGGGCCUGGACUCCAAGCCAGGCUGUCUCACAGUGAACCCCACAGGCUUUCUGCCCUGCAAGGCAGCUUCCCUGCAUUGCCCAUCUUUCUCUCUAAUAUUGAACAGGUUCUACAUAUUCAUUGCCUUGGAAUACCAUUAUGAUUUACUCUGCCUUUUUAAAUCUUUAAACCAAUUCUAUCAGCCCAUAAAAAAGUAAUCCUUCAGCUGUGCUUUAUUAGACCAAAGGGUAGGUCCACUUUUGGCCACUGUGCACCAGAUCUGGUUUAAACACACUGUGUGUAUAUUUCAUUUGAGCAAAGCUAUUCUGGGUAGAUUCUACUUUUUAUUUUGUUUUGUUGAUCUGUAUUUU